rnacentral:lncRNA from 1 species
GAGCUUGGAGGUUAGGACCUGGGUGGCUGCUACAACGUUUCUAAGUUUUUCAGAAGUUUUAUAUAUCCGGCUCGGAGGACCAUGAUUUAUAUCAAUAAUAACUCACUUUGUAGAAGGGAUAAAGGCUUUAUAAAGACAAGGAUAAAGACAGGAACGACAGAAACGAAACUUUUUCUUCUACAACUUUUUUCUGACUGACAAAGUUAAGACCAAAAAACCACUUAUCCAGUUCCAUGGUAACCCCUUCCACCGUGGCCCAGACCGUCCCAGCUGAUAAGUCUUAAUGGCGGGAACACUAAGGUGAAAAAUUCUCGAGAGAGACCUCCACCAUCAACACCCUCUUCUUCGCGUGGUUCGUCCAGGCUCCAUCCCCAUUGUGUCUGUGAAUGUUAUGGCCACAGGUUUUGUAGGGUCAAAAUAUGAACGACGCAUUUGGUUAAAUGCAUUAUUUAGCACAUUGCAGCGAUCAAUUUUCCAUUGACAAUAGGAUGGAGAUAUUUGUUCCUUCAGCGGGAGCAGCAAUGUUCUUAUACAUAUCAACUUCAGUGGCAGGCGACGAUUGUGUGUCAGAGAGGCCACAAUCAUCAGAAUCAUCAUCGCUAAGUUCAAUAGUAGGCAUCACUCGUUCACGUUCCCUUGUUGUUGGACCAUUUUCAGCAAUGCUUUCAGACCCACUCACGGAAUUGAAAUCAGGGAUGGGCAAAUCCUGAAAUGGCAUAAUAAACACUGUUUUUUCCUUAUAUAGCCGGCUGAACGUAGCGCCAUUUAAAGCAGUCCCCUUAGCUAGACCCAGGUCUACGAUUAAGGAUAAGCCUUUUUGAGUAAAGAAUUUGAAUCCAAUAUUAUCUAAGAAGGGAGAAAAUUCAUUGAUGAAUUCUUGUUUGAUUUGUUCCUCACUCAUAUUCCUUCUCAAAGUCUUAUGACGAACCACCAACUUGUUUUCGCUGUGGUGACUGUAAAACUCGCCCCUCGGUGGUGCUGUUAUGUUUGUCCUCAUCAAAAGAAUCGUUUCCUCUACAGUAAAUUCAGAGUCAUCCAUUUUAAUUUUCUUAUUUGGUGCAGUGUUGGAGGACCUCUUGUUGGCGAGGGUACGCACAACUGCAUCUCUAGUUGUACUUGAAGAUGCCCCAUGUGUCCCACCUGCACAAAACCAAAAUAAAAUAUAUUCAAUUCUUAAACAUAAUGAAGUUUUAGAAUUGGUUAAAGCCUACGGAGUUCACAUUAGGUUCAGAUCAAAAUAUGUUACACUCAGUGGCUACAUUCUGAAAACUUGUACCUACAUACUAUGAUCUGUGCCAUUGCAAAUUUCAUACUGUAUUUUAUUUUUUCGAUGGAAAACAAACCGUUCUUCUCUCUUGAGAAUUUCUGUUAUUUUUCUAGAAAAGAAUGUUCUGUAUAAAAUUAAAUUAACAACUUUGGUUUGUUUUUGUAAAAGAAAAUUGAAAAUAGAAAUAGAGAGCUUUAAAUUGAUAUUAGUUGAUUUUUAACAAAAAACUAUUUAUAAAAGUUGAUUGCAGUUUCUGCAACCUGCUUUUAUCGGACAGAAUAUCAAUCACUCAAAAAUAUUGCUGUGCUAAGCAAGAACACCAUAUGAGCCAUUAAAUGUUGCCAAAUUUCCUUCGAUAAAUCACGAGUUUUUAGGAAAAUUUUAGAAUACUUCCUCACCGAUUUUUCAGAGGGGUUUGUUCGUAAUUUGAUCUAAAAAGUCUGAAGAUUUCAAGGAAAAAUAUAGAUAAUUUUUUUAAAAUAUAAUAUUUUCUGAGGAGAAGUUUGGCAACAUUUGAAUGCUCAUAACGCGUUUUUACUUAGUUUGGUAGAAUACUAAAGUUUAUGCAUAUACAAGGA